CACGUAGGGGGGCGAGCGUUUGUCCGGAUUUAUUGGGCGUAAAGAGCUCGUAGGUGGCUUAGUAAGUCGGGUGUGAAACCUCCAGGCUCAACCUGGAGACGCCACCCGAUACUGCUAUAGCUUGAGUCCGGUAGGGGAGCGUGGAAUUCCUGGUGUAGCGGUGAAAUGCGCAGAUAUCAGGAGGAACACCAGCGGCGAAAGGCGGGUCUCUGGGCCGCAACUGACGCUGAGGAGCGAAAGCAUGGGGAGCGAACAGG
rnacentral:rRNA from 1 species